CCGAGUUUACAACUCCCAAACCCCUGUGAACAUACCUAUCGUUGCUUCGGCGGAUCCGCCCCGGCGCCCUCGGGCCCGGAUCAGGCGCCCACCGGAGACCCAAAACUCUUGUAUUUCUUUAGUAUCUUCUGAGUAAACAAGCAAAUAAAUUA
rnacentral:misc_RNA from 1 species